GAAACAUGUAAUUCUAAUUAAAUAUCAAUUCGAACAUUUUUUAUUAAUCUAAUCAGAAGCUCUAUAAGGCGACACUCUGUCCUGCCACCUAAAUAAAUGGGCCCUGUAGACCACAUCGACACCAUGCAACGCAAUACGCUUAGACCUCAACUCAUCGUCAUCCACUUAAGACCCAUACAACAACAACCACAAUAACAUAAUCCUCAAACUUGUCCAUCUAAACUGUACAAUACAACUGUUUAUACUGUUUAUACUGUUUAUAAUUCAUCAUUUCCCUGCUCAGAAUUAUUAUUAUUAUUAUUAUUAUUAUUAUUAUUAUUAUUAUUAUUAAAAAAAAUAAAACAUUAACAAAUUCUUUAGCAUUAACAAUUUACAAUUUUAUGGGGGAUUAUUUUUACGAUUGUCCAGAUAAAAUGAUUAAAGCAAAGUAUUUUUGGGAUCUAUUUUUUAUUAAAAUAGUAUAAAAUGUUUAUUAUAUCAACAAUACAAUAUGGAAUGGAUAAUCGAUUUCGAUUUCGAUUAAGCCGCACUGUAAAAAUUUACAUUGCUUUGUUUUUAAAGACAAUAAGGCACAACAACACAUUUUUUUUAUUUGCAUUAUUAAACCUUACACAACUGUUCUGUUUUCUUGUUCAUCAGAUUUCACCGUGUCUUCAUACCUAUAUGAAUAUUUUUUUGGACGGAAUGUAAUGUUUAUCAAAAUACAUGUAAACCAUUUGAACAUAUAAAUAUAACUUAGAAAAAUAAUUAAUUCGCAUAUAAAA